AGUGAACGCUGGCGGUAGGCCUAACACAUGCAAGUCGAACGGCAGCACAGUAAGAGCUUGCUCUUACGGGUGGCGAGUGGCGGACGGGUGAGGAAUACAUCGGAAUCUACUUUUUCGUGGGGGAUAACGUAGGGAAACUUACGCUAAUACCGCAUACGACCUAAGGGUGAAAGCAGGGGAUCUUCGGACCUUGCGCGAUUGAAUGAGCCGAUGUCGGAUUAGCUAGCUGGCGGGGUAAAGGCCGACCAAGGCGACGAUCCGUACCUGGUCUGAGAGGAUGGUCAGCCACACUGGAACUGAGACACGGCCCAGACUCCUACGGGAGGCAGCAGUGGGGAAUAUUGGACAAUGGGCGCAAGCCUGAUCCAGCCAUACCGCGUGGGUGAAGAAGGCCUUCGGGUUGUAAAGCCCUUUUGUUGGGAAAGAAAAGCAGCAGGUUAAUACCCCGCUGUUCUGACGGUACCCAAAGAAUAAGCACCGGCUAACUUCGUG
rnacentral:rRNA from 1 species